rnacentral:rRNA from 1 species
GAUGAACGCUGGCGGCGUGCCUAAUACAUGCAAGUCGAGCGAACGGACGAGAAGCUUGCUUCUCUGAUGUUAGCGGCGGACGGGUGAGUAACACGUGGAUAACCUACCUAUAAGACUGGGAUAACUUCGGGAAACCGGAGCUAAUACCGGAUAAUAUUUUGAACCGCAUGGUUCAAAAGUGAAAGAAGGUCUUGCUGUCACUUAUAGAUGGAUCCGCGCUGCAUUAGCUAGUUGGUAAGGUAACGGCUUACCAAGGCAACGAUGCAUAGCCGACCUGAGAGGGGGAUCGGCCACACGGGAACGGAGACACGGUCCAGACUCCUACGGGAGGCAGCAGUAGGGAAUCUUCCGCAAUGGGCGAAAGCCUGACGGAGCAACGCCGCGUGAGUGAUGAAGGUCUUCGGAUCGUAAAACUCUGUUAUUAGGGAAGAACAUAUGUGUAGUAACUGUGCACAUCUUGACGGUACCUAAUCAGAAAGCCACGGCUAACUACGUG